rnacentral:rRNA from 1 species
UUUGGUAGCCAUAGAGGAGAGGGUACACCCGACCUUCCGAACUCGGAAGUUAAGCUCUCCAUCGCCGAUGAUACUGCAUAACGUCAUGUGGGAAAGUAGGCCGCUGCCAAAG